CCUACGGGUGGCAGCAGUGAGGAAUAUUGGUCAAUGGGCGCGAGCCUGAACCAGCCAAGUCGCGUGAAGGAUGACUGCCCUACGGGUUGUAAACUUCUUUUAUAAAGGAAUAAAGUGAGGCACGUGUGCCUUUUUGUAUGUACUUUCUGAAUAAGGAACGGCUAAAUCCGUGCCAGUAGACGCGGUAAUACGGAGGAUCCGAGCUUUAUCCGGCUUUAUUGAGUUUAAAGGGAGCGGAGAUGGGUUGUUAAAUCAGUUGUGAAAGUUUGCGGCUCAACCGUAAAAUUGCAAUGGAAACUGGCAGUCUUGAGUACAGUUGAGGUAGGCGGAAUUCGUGGUGUAGCGGUGAAAUGCUUAGAUAUCACGAAGAACUCCGAUUGCGAAGGCAGCUUACUAAACUGCCACUGACAUUGAUGCUCGAAAGUGUGGGUAUCAAACAGGAUUAGAUACCCCUGUAGUC
rnacentral:rRNA from 1 species